rnacentral:lncRNA from 1 species
UUCAGAUGCCAAAUGAAAGUUAAAGAACCCAAGUGUUUCCAAGAUGAGAGAGGGGAGCCUCCCGAGGGCUGUAUGAAGUCAAAGGAAAGAUUAUGGAGGGUGUUUUUUUCUAUUUCUUUUGAGUCAACAGUUUUGAGUGGAAAAUGCACUAGAGCAGUAAAGGAGGAAGGAAACACCAGAGAACCUCAGUGCCCCAAAAUGAGUAUCUUCUUGUUGGGGAAGCCACUAACCCAAUUCCAGGCAAUGAUUUCUAUUUUAACAGCCCUGGAAAGUGUUCCUAACACUCCUUGGGAACACAGUGUGAAAUGUGUACCUAUUAUACAAGGUGUUUCACAGACUGAUAUCUUGAAGCAUUUUGCUCAUAAGCGAGGUGCAGAGGCCACAGAGGCUUGAAAAACGGCACACCAGGAGAUUAUAUCCCGCACAUGGAUUGGAGGGUCCUACGCCCACGGAGUCUCGCUGUUAGCUAGCACAGCAGUCUGAGAUCAAACUGCAAGGCGGCAGCGAGGCUGGGGGAGGAGCGCCUGCCAUUGCCCAGGCUUGAUUAGGUAAACAAAGCAGCCAGGAAGUUCAAACUGGGUGGAGCCCACCACAGCUCAAGGAGGCCUGCCUGCCUCUGUAGGCUCCACUUCUGGGGUCAGGGCACAGACAAACAAAAGCAGUAACCUCUGCAGACUUAAAUGUCCCUGUCUGACAGCUUUGAAGAGAGUAGUGGUUCUCCCAGCACUCAGCUGGAGAUCUGAGAACAGGCAGACUGCCUCCUCAAGUGGGUCCCUGACCCCCGAGCAGCCUAACUGAGAGGCACACCCCAGUAGGGGCAGACUGACACUUCACAUGGCAGGGUACUCCUCUGAGACAAAACUUCCAGAGGAACGAUCAGGCAGCAGCAUUUGUGGAUCACCAAUAUCCGCUGUUCUACAGCCACCAAUGUUCUGCAGCCACCGCUGCUGAUACCCAGGCAAACAGGGUCUGGAGUGGACCUCUAGCAAACUCCAACAGACCUGCAGCUGAGGGUCCUGUCUGUUAGGAAAACUAACAAACAGAAAGGACAUCCACACCAAAAACCCAUCUGUACAUUACCAUCAUCAAAGACCAAAAGUAGAUAAAACCACAAAGAUGGGGAAAAAACAGAGCAGAAAAACUGGAAACUCUAAAAAGCAGAGCGCCUCUCCUCCUCCAAAGGAGUGCAGCUCCUCACCAGCAACG